CGACGAUCUGUAACUGGUCUGAGAGGAUGAUCAGUCACACCGGAACUGAGACACGGUCCGGACUCCUACGGGAGGCAGCAGUGGGGAAUAUUGGACAAUGGGGGCAACCCUGAUCCAGCCAUGCCGCGUGUGUGAAGAAGGCCUUUUGGUUGUAAAGCACUUUAAGCAGGGAGGAGAGGCUAAUGGUUAAUACCCAUUAGAUUAGACGUUACCUGCAGAAUAAGCACCGGCUAACUCUGUGCCAGCAGCCGCGGUAAUACAGAGGGUGCGAGCGUUAAUCGGAAUUACUGGGCGUAAAGCGAGUGUAGGUGGCUCAUUAAGUCACAUGUGAAAUCCCCGGGCUUAACCUGGGAACUGCAUGUGAUACUGGUGGUGCUAGAAUAUGUGAGAGGGAAGUAGAAUUCCAGGUGUAGCGGUGAAAUGCGUAGAGAUCUGGAGGAAUACCGAUGGCGAAGGCAGCUUCCUGGCAUAAUAUUGACACUGAGAUUCGAAAGCGUGGGUAGCAAACAGGAUUAGAUACCCUGGUAGUCCACGCCGUAAACGAUGUCUACUAGCCGUU
rnacentral:rRNA from 1 species